UUAGUUACGAAGUUGGUUCCCGUAACAUGUCUAAGAUGGUGCGAUGAUUGCUCACGAUAUGUGUAGACUCUGAUAUGCUUGAAGCUCCGAGCAUCUUGUCCUUUACGGACGAUCCUGUGAAGGUUACGAGGAGAGAAAAUAAUUAUACCAGGGCAUAUGUCCCUUCUCAAGAAAUUGAAGCAGACCUGAAAAGGAUUUCAGGAAAACUAAAUG